rnacentral:rRNA from 1 species
GAUGAACGCUGGCGGCGUGCCUAAUACAUGCAAGUCGAGCGAACGGACGAGAAGCUUGCUUUUCUGAUGUUAGCGGCGGACGGGUGAGUAACACGUGGAUAACCUACCUAUAAGACUGGGAUAACUUCGGGAAACCGGAGCUAAUACCGGAUAAUAUUUUGAACCGCAUGGUUCAAAAGUGAAAGACGGUCUUGCUGUCACUUAUAGAUGGAUCCGCGCUGCAUUAGCUAGUUGGUAAGGUAACGGCUUACCAAGGCAACGAUGCAUAGCCGACCUGAGAGGGUGAUCGGCCACACUGGAGCUGAGACACGGUCCAGACUCCUACGGGAGGCAGCAGUAGGGAAUCUUCCGCAAUGGGCGAAAGCCUGACGGAGCAACGCCGCGUGAGUGAUGAAGGUCUUCGGAUCGUAAAACUCUGUUAUUAGGGAAGAACAUAUGUGUAAGUAACUGUGCACAUCUUGACGGUACCUAAUCAGAAAGCCACGGCUAACUACG